rnacentral:rRNA from 1 species
UGACACAGGGAGGUAGUGACAAGAAAUAACAAUACAGGGCUUUCGUCUUGUAAUUGGAAUGAUGGUGAUGUACAACCUCACCAGAGUACCAAUUGGAGGGCAAGUCUGGUGCCAGCAGCCGCGGUAAUUCCAGCUCCAAUAGCGUAUAUUAAACUUGUUGCAGUUAAAAAGCUCGUAGUUGUAUUUCAGCCUCGCGUUUUUUCCCUGGUUUUGGGUCUUUUCGCUGGCUUUUUUUUUACUUUGAGAAAAUUAGAGUGUUUCAAGCAGACUUUUGUCUUGAAUACUUCAGCAUGGAAUAAUAGAGUAGGACCUUGGUUCUAUUUUGUUGGUUUUGAGCCUUGGUAAUGGUUAAUAGGAACGGUUGGGGGCAUUCGUAUUUAACUGUCAGAGGUGAAAUUCUUAGAUUUGUUAAA